CAUACAGAACUUCUCACGUCGAUGACUACUUCAUUAUCGUUAUCAGUUUUGCCUUACUCAGAGGAGUACAAGUGGCAGUCCGAAGGUGAAGAACCGUCGACUUCUCUGAUAACGCGAGGGAAGAUUAAGAGGGAACCUCCCUGUUUUAAACGGUCACGAUGCAACAGCCAAUUCGGUUGGGCGACGAGAGUUCACAUUUGAAUGCUCGAGGUGUCAUUGGUCGAUACAUCUCCAGUGCAAUCUUACUUCCUCCUGAAUGGCUGGAGAAGGAGAGAGAAGUCAAGGGUGGAAGUUGCCUCAGAGCUGGCAAAGCUAAUCUAUCAAGAGCUUCACCUUCCGAACGAGGUAUAUAAAGACCCCGGUAUGCUCGCUCGCUCAUGAUGCUCGAUUUCACCAGAGCUCUCUGUCCCCGGAAGACGCCGCCGCCAUGAGACUCGACUUUUAACGCGGAAGCUUCUCUUCCAAGAGCCCCCUCGGGAUGACUUUAAUUGGAUGGAAGGCAAGCAAGCGCUAAGGAGAAAUAAUUAUACGAUGCUGAGUUACAACAAAAUUCAAAUACAGAGAUGAUGGUUGUGACACACACAUUCAGUGAAGCUUCCUAUUCCGUAGAAAAUUAUUUAUCUUCAUUCCACCUGCAGAGGAAAACCCACCAGGGGCGAAGAGGGUCUGACCAUUAUGCAAAUGGCGCAGCCAAUCACGAAGCAUCAUUCAUCAAAGCCUCACCAUCUUCGGCCCUUAUCCAUUUUACAUCAGCUACAGCAGAGAAUGAUAUUCAUUAUACAUUUACAUAUUCUGACAGAGAGAUUUUUGCCUGUAACGAAAUAAUACAGCCCCGUCUCAUCGUGUGAUGGGAUCUGAGCGUCAGGGGGCCAUCUUCCGAUUUUUGUCUCUGGGGUCUUCGUUCAAUUCCACCACCCGAUCACAGAUAGUCAGUCUCAUAACAUGACGAGAAAAUGUUCCUCUCCACGUGGGAAAAUGCAAUUUGUCCUAAUUAUUGUGGUGGGAUUUAUCCUCAACUUGUGAUCAGAUUUUUCCCCUCCAACAAUUCGAGCCCUUCAAAUAAUAGGCCUAAAACCUUUUCUUUUUUUAUUCAUGCAAGUAAAACAGAUUCCUUCAAGACUGGAAUAUGUUUAACGCCACGGAUUUUAUUCUGAAAGGUUUCUCUCUUCCCCCGUCACCUAUUUUGCUUUGCAUAUUCUAUGACGUCAUUAGUCCUGUCUUUUUUUUAUUUAAUAUUUUUUUUAAACUCUGGAUAAUACUAAAUCGUUACUUAUAUCUGUUCAACUUUAUUUCUUAAUCGAUUCUUAUUCAUGGUUGUUCCAGUGCAUCCAUUUUUGCUUUUGGAAUGACACUCUAAUAUUUGUUUACUGAAUGUGUGUGUGUGUGUGUGUGUGUGUGUGCGCGCGUGUGUGUGUGUCACUGACCCGCGGUCUCCCUGUGAAUGAAGCCCCAUUGCUCAUUUCAUUCUUAAAUUACAUGACAACUUUUCGCAAAUGAUGACGACGUCGCUUAUUUUACUAUCCAUUGGAACUAGUUUUAAGUUUUCUAUUUCGAAUACUAUGAAUGUUGAACUUAUAAUAAUAUGUGCUGUCUAAAUGUCCCUAUGAGGCUGGACAUUUUAUUCCUUUUAAUGUAGUUUUCGUUUUUGCUUUCCUGUGUUUAAAUCGCUCACACAAAAUAUGUCACUGUUGACAACCCUUAUCGUUUAUUUGCUUCACUUAUCGAAAAUGGAAGUAUUUGAAUGACAUUUUAUUAUGUAAUUGUUCGAACACGGGCUAAAUGCAACCUGUGAUCAUCAAUAAUUUGAUCCAUGUACUUAUGAAGCCUAAAGAUUGAUAUAAAUCGCAUAAUUAUUUCCUAUCGACAUUUAGUUUCGUUGACAAUGGCAUUAUAUGUACUAGUUUGUUUAUGAGUCUUAUGUAGUUAUAAAAAGUCCUAUAAAAACUCCACUCUAUGUCGUUUCUGGUGCUUUAGGAUUAGACUGUCUAUAAAAAUAAACUUAUUUUCACCAUUUAUGGAUAAAUAUAAAUUCCUAUAUCACAUUUACGUAGCUUUACAUUACACACUUUUACAAGCAGGAUACAGUCAGACGGGAUCCUUUCCUCAAAAGUGUCAUAAAGUUCCAAUCGUAUUCUUUAAAUUGUUAUUCUCUGCAUUAUCCUCACUGUCUUUUUGGUUGAAGUUCUUCAUACAUUUUUCAUAUCUACGUAUGAAUAUCUGCAAAGCUGUGUGUGAGUUUGUAAAGAUAGGUGUGUGUGUAUAGUAUAAUAGAAUAUAAUAUAUAAUAUACAUAAUUAACAGAAAGGACUUCAAUCAAGUCACUUGCACAUGAUUUCGUUACUGGUUAAAAUGAAAACUGAAACUCAGUGAACUUGGACUUACAAUGCUAUUGUUAAUGAUUUCGUUUUAUUUCUAGUUAGUAUUUUUUUUCAUCACAUGUUCGUAUGAAAACCAUUCUUAGUAAGCCUAUUUUUUCCUAGUCAACGUGGAAGAUUUUUCGCUUCUAUGAUAUAAUUUGUCGCCAAUAAAUUGUAUUUUUGUAUAUAA